rnacentral:rRNA from 1 species
UACGAAGGGGGCUAGCGUUGCUCGGAAUCACUGGGCGUAAAGGGUGCGUAGGCGGGUUUUAAGUCAGGGGUGAAAUCCUGGAGCUCAACUCCAGAACUGCCUUUGAUACUGAGGAUCUUGAGUUCGGGAGAGGUGAGUGGAACUGCGAGUGUAGAGGUGGAAUUCGUAGAUAUUCGCAAGAACACCAGUGGCGAAGGCGGCUCACUGGCCCGAUACUGACGCUGAGGCACGAAAGCGUGGGGAGCAAACAGG